UGUGCCCUUAGAGGUGUUGCAGGUGUGGCUGCUGUGUCGCAUGUGUGUCAGUAGACGGCAGAGAAGAGACAGGCAAUAUUUACACUCAGCAUUCUGACCUCUGAACAUCUAAAGGAUUUGUAGCCUAACACU